AACUGAAUGGCUCCGUCGGUUAAGCAUCUGACUUCGGCUCAGGUCAUGAUCUCACCAACAUGGGUUCGAGCCCCACUUCGGUCU
rnacentral:tRNA from 1 species